rfam:Drosophila mojavensis strain TSC#15081-1352.22 Ctg01_11052, whole genome shotgun sequence.
AUGUAGUAGACAAGGCGACAUGCCCUCGUCGAGAAUGGCUCAGCUCUAUGCUGGAAAUCUCCAGUGUUUACAUUGCGAAAACAAUUGAAAUCAUAACAAUAAAAUCAAAUUCGAAAUUUGUGAGUACGCGAACG